GACGGGUGAGUAAUACCUAGGAAUCUGCCUGAUAGUGGGGGAUAACGUUCGGAAACGGACGCUAAUACCGCAUACGUCCUACGGGAGAAAGCAGGGGACCUUCGGGCCUUGCGCUAUCAGAUGAGCCUAGGUCGGAUUAGCUAGUUGGUGAGGUAAUGGCUCACCAAGGCUACGAUCCGUAACUGGUCUGAGAGGAUGAUCAGUCACACUGGAACUGAGACACGGUCCAGACUCCUACGGGAGGCAGCAGUGGGGAAUAUUGGACAAUGGGCGAAAGCCUGAUCCAGCCAUGCCGCGUGUGUGAAGAAGGUCUUCGGAUUGUAAAGCACUUUAAGUUGGGAGGAAGGGCAGUUACCUAAUACGUGAUUGUCUUGACGUUACCGACAGAAUAAGCACCGGCUAACUCUGUGCCAGCAGCCGCGGUAAUACAGAGGGUGCAAGCGUUAAUCGGAAUUACUGGGCGUAAAGCGCGCGUAGGUGGUUUGUUAAGUUGAAUGUGAAAUCCCCGGGCUCAACCUGGGAACUGCAUCCAAAACUGGCAAGCUAGAGUAUGGUAGAGGGUAGUGGAAUUUCCUGUGUAGCGGUGAAAUGCGUAGAUAUAGGAAGGAACACCAGUG
rnacentral:rRNA from 1 species